rnacentral:rRNA from 1 species
UCGAGCGGGGGAAGGUAGCUUGCUACUGGACCUAGCGGCGGACGGGUGAGUAAUGCUUAGGAAUCUGCCUAUUAGUGGGGGACAACAUCUCGAAAGGGAUGCUAAUACCGCAUACGUCCUACGGGAGAAAGCAGGGGAUCUUCGGACCUUGCGCUAAUAGAUGAGCCUAAGUCGGAUUAGCUAGUUGGUGGGGUAAAGGCCUACCAAGGCGACGAUCUGUAGCGGGUCUGAGAGGAUGAUCCGCCACACUGGGACUGAGACACGGCCCAGACUCCUACGGGAGGCAGCAGUGGGGAAUAUUGGACAAUGGGGGGAACCCUGAUCCAGC